rnacentral:rRNA from 1 species
UACGUAGGGGGCAAGCGUUGUCCGGAAUCAUUGGGCGUAAAGAGCGCGUAGGCGGUCCGGUAAGUCCGCUCUGAAAGUCCGGGGCUCAACCCCGGGAGGCGGGCGGAUACUGUCGGGCUAGAGUCCGGAAGAGGCGAGUGGAAUUCCUGGUGUAGCGGUGAAAUGCGCAGAUAUCAGGAGGAACACCGGUGGCGAAGGCGGGUCUCUGGGACGGUACUGACGCUGAGACGCGAAAGCGUGGGGAGCGAACAGG